rnacentral:rRNA from 1 species
UGAGCUAAACGCGCAUAUGGUGUAUUCGCGUGCGUCGCAUAGCACGUAUUAAAUGCGCGUUUAGGGGUGAUAGGCUUUUCAAACGUUCGUAUAACUUGUUUCAUAUGAAAAGUAUUUAGUACCUAAACAAAUUUGAAAAGUUAAGCUUUUAAAUUAUUAUUAAAGAUAUUAUUCCCUUGUAGUGUAGUUUAAUAGCUAUCUACAUAGUAACUUAACAUUAAUUAUGUUAGUUUAUAUAUUAUAGUAUGACGCUAGCAAUUUUGUAAAUAAAUUGAAAAUGUUAGUAUUAGUAAUAUUAGUAUAUGUGCUAAAGGAACUCGGCAAAAAACCGCUCAACUGUUUAUCAAAAACAUAGCUAUAUGAAUUAGUAUAUAGUUGUUUCUGCUCAAUGACUUAAAUAGCCGCAGUACUCUGACUGUGCAAAGGUAGCAUAAUCAGUUGGCUUUUAAUUAGAGUCUGGUAUGAACGAAAAUAUGGGUAGUAACUGUCUUAGCACAUUUCUUUGAACUUGUUAAACAAGUGCAAAUGCUUGUAGUCAAACAAUAGACGAGAAGACCCUAGAAACUUGGACAUGUUUUUGUUGGGGCGACAGAAUUACAUUUAACUAAUCUUCUAAUACAUGACGCGGUGCUGAAAGAAUAAGUUACUCUAGGGAUAACAGCAUAAUUUCAUUAGUUUGUGACCUCGAUGUUGGACUAGGUACUAUACCCUUAAGGCAAGGAUAUAUUGUGCUCUGUUCGAGCAAAAUUACCUACAUGAUCUGAGUUCAGACCG